GACAAGGUAAAAAGACAUUAAAAGAUAAAAGAUAAGAAUACUAGUGAAAAGAAUAAGCAAUAUCAGCAUAGCAUACAAAAACUCAUACAAUACAAAUAAUAAACUAUUGCUCCAGAAGCGGUUUAGUCCUGCUGGCCCCAUGACCCGGAAAGCUGUCUGUGGACAAAUGCUGUCUCUCCCGGCCUGAAAGGAAGAUGAGUGCCGCAACCCCAUACUUGCCUUUGACUGGACUUAACCAUCCAGGGGUCCCUUACCUUACCUUACCUUUACCUUUUUAUAUUUCAAUUAUUUUCUUUUUUCUUUUUUUAAAUAAUGUUUAUUAAAAUUUUCAAAAAUACAGAAAGUAAAAAUUAAAAUACAUUCAGAUCCUUUUUUUCAUAUAUCCACUUUCUGGGACUCCCCCCUUCCCCCACCCCUAUCAUAUUCAUUUUUCAUGUUGUUGGCUCCACAAGCUCUCGGUUCUGAUUAAAAACUUAAUUUGUUUAAACCAUUAUUCGAAUUUAAAAUUUCUAGAUUCCUCAUCAAUACCCUUAAUAAAAAACCAAAAACUUCUUUCCCAGGGCCCACCCCAUUUUCAUUCCACAAUUUCCCUUUUUUUUUUUUAGUAAUAAAGACACCCCACAUAAUAGAAAUAUCAGAAAUAAGAAAUAAAAGAUAUAAUAGAUGAAACAAAGCCAGUUCAAAAAAAAGAAGUUGACAAGCCUUUGGAUUUUAGUUCUCCCCCUCUGUCCCCGGUUUAAUUUCCCCCUGACCACCAAACCAUGUUAUCCGCCUGGAAUUCUUACAAUCCAUAAAUCGCCUAUUUCCCCCAACUCCUUGCUGGCUCUUUUUUUUUUUUUUUUUUCCCCUUUCAUAAUUAUUUUUUAAAACACUUAACUUCAGAUCUUUAAUAAAGCUCCCCCCAUUGUUCUUUCCAAAUUGUAGUCCAGUUUCCUCUUGUUCCGCUGCUGAAACGUUCUAAUUCAGAAGCUUAGUAAGUCUGCAGGGAUUCUUGUUAUUCAGGAACAAAAACUUGCGUUCAGUCCCUUCCUUUCUUCAAUAGAAAAUUCUAUUGUCUCCUUUAGCUGAACACCCUGUAGACAAAAUAUUAUUUCCGUUUUGCAGCUUUCCCAGAAGAUAACCAGUUCUGUAAAAUUCCAAUGGUAUUUUUCCACUUACGACCAUCUUUGUAAUGUCCCGAAACUCCUCUAGGGGGAUUGUUGUAACUUUGUUUUCUCUAGUCCAAAAGUCCGAUUGUUAUCCAUAUUUUCGCCAUUUUGUAUCCAAGUUUUAACAAGUUGUAACAAAUUGUAUCAAAUUUAGCCAGCAAAGUUCUCAUAAUAAAAUCCUCUCUACUUUCCGACUUUGACAGCUACUUUGACAGCUGUCAAAAUCUCCGACUCUUUUCACCAGGCUCUCUCUUCAAUCACCCCGGUUCCCAGGGGGGGGGGGUUACGUUUCUUCUCCCUCAAUUCGUCCUCCAGCACAGUUCUUAUAAUUCCCCAUCGUGGAAUUCUUAGUUUUUAUCAGCAAUACAAAUCUUUUUGGACCUUGGUUUCCCCGUCCUUGUCUUGGAAGGUUUACAAUAGGGGGGGGGACUGACUUCCUUUUUGGAUCCCCCCCCCGCUCGUGUCCAAUUCAAAAAGAAAUUCUUUUUUUUCCUCCUUUUAAACCCAGUUUCCAAAUUACUCACGGGUUGUUGUUAAAAAGUCCGAAUUUUCAAUGGAAGAAGUCAGCGCUCUCCGCCGGAUGGCAUGCGGCUGCGCUCGGCAGGGAUAGCAGAGGACUCAAAGCACCACGCUUCUCCCCGGCACCCGAUCCGUAGCCUUUAAAAAGGCUCCUUCACGAGUCGGGAGGGCGCUGACGGUGCCAGCCGAGUCUCCAUGUCCACGGCCCUCGUGGCCGUGGUUUUUAAGGGUCCCCGCAUCGCCGGUGCGGUAGGACCCAGCCCCUGCCGAGCAGGCUCCCUCCGGAGCUCGGAGGGAGUCCGCCAUUCGGCGAUGGCGCCAACCCGGAAGUAUAUUUCAAUUAUUUUCUUCCAGUUGACUUCCUUCAUCCUCAGCACAGUUGCAUUUUCAUUUUUGAUAAAUUGUUUCCUCCUUUUUGUAUAUUUUUUACCCAUCUUUAUUUUUGUUUUUAUUUUUUUUUAUUUGAGGGCACUGCUUUUUAAGGUAAUCCCUGUAUUUUCCCCAUUCUUUUUGAAAUUUUUGUUUGGGCUGCCCCCUAAUUGCAUCUGUCAUUCUAGCCAAUUCUAUAUAAUCAAAUAAUUUAUCUUGCCAUUCUUUUCUUGUUGGUGUUAUUUCUUUUUUUCAAUAUUUAGCAAUUAAUGUUUUCGCAGCUGUAGUAGCAUAAAGGAAUAUUUUCUUAUUUUCUCUGGCUAUAUUCGUAUCUAAUAUCCCCAAUAAAAAAGCUUCUGUUUUCUUAACAAAGUUUUCUUUAAACAUUUUCUUUAGCUCUUCGUAUACCAUGUCCCAAAAGCUUCCAAUUUUGUCACAUGUCCACCACACAUGUAGUAGUGUCCCUCUACAGUGGGACCUCGGGUUUAGUACUUAAUUCGUUCCGGAGGUCUGUUCUUAACCUGAAACUGUUCUUAACCUGAAGCAUCACUUUAGCUAAUGGGGCUAACCCAAGGUACCACUGUACAAAUUUAAAUCAGGUAAUGCCAAUCCACCCCUAUUUUUUUAUCUAUUAAAAGUUUAUACUGCCAAAUAAAUUUUUUUAUACUGCCAAAUAAACUUUGAUAGAUCUUUUUGCCAAGAUUUAAAUCCCACCCCUCCAAUGAUUGGUAUCAUUUGAAAUAAGAACAUCAUUUUAGGCAACACUUUCAUUUUCACAACUGAUAUCCUGCCACACAUUGAUCAUCUUAACUUAUCUUAACUAUAAAUUUCCAAAUCUCUCUUGAAUUAUUUCCAUAUUUUUAUAUAGUUAUCCUUGAAUAGGUUACUGUUUUUAAUCGUCGGCCAAAUUCCCAAGUACUUAGUUUGGUUUACUAUUGUUAAUCCUGAUAUCUUCUGCAGUUCUUCUUUUUCCUGCAUUGACGUAUUUUUGCUAACAUAUUGGUUUUAUUCUUGUUUAGUUUAAAUCCUGUCACUUUUCCUAAUUAAAGAAUCCUUUAUAUUAUUUUGGUACACUCUCUUCUGGAUUUUUGGUAGUUAGGAUCAGAUCAUCUGCAAAGGCCUUCAUCUUAUGUGAUUCCUUUCCCACUGUUAUACUUUUUAUAUUUUGAUCUUACCUUAUUGCGUUCACAAUAAAUACUAAAGGUGAAAGAGGACAGCCUUGCCUGCUCCCUUUACUUAUCUUUAAAUCUUCCAUUAUUUCAAUAUUAAGGAUCAGUUUGGCUCUCUGGUUUCAAUAUAUUGCCUCAAUGCCUCUCUUAAAGUUUUCCCCGAGCCCUAUUAUUUCUAUAGAUUUUUUCAUAAAGUUCCACAAGAUAUUAUCUAAGGCAGGCACCCCCAAACUCAGCCCCCCAGAUGUUUUGGGACUACAACUCCCAUCAUCCCUAGCUAACAGGAACUAGUGGUCAGGAUGGUGGGAGUUGUAGUCCCAAAACAUCUGGAGGGCUGAGUUUUGGAGAUAUCUGAUCUAAGGCCUUCUCCUCAUCACCUCUUCUUAUCCUUUUGUAUAACUGGAAGAAUUUGUGGAUAUGUUUCAUGUGCUAGCAUGUUUGAUUUUAUUAAAGAUUGUCCUUCUCAUUGUU
rnacentral:lncRNA from 1 species